AAGCGGUCGUGUGGAGAAAUUUAGAAAAUAUUGUUUUAUUUAAAAACAACUUGUUGUUAAGCAUUACUGUUCCUUCCUAAAUGAAAAUUAUGAAAUUAUGGUGAAUAGGAUGGACUCCAAAGAUUGGGCAUUGAAAAUAGCAAACAGUUUUUUGUUUUUUUUUAGAAAAAUAACCUUAAAACCAGAUCUCUUGGGGCACCCUAUAUUCCUGAAAAAUAUGAUGAAAACAAAGCGUAGCAAAUUUAAAGUAAUAAC